rnacentral:rRNA from 1 species
CCUACGGGAGGCAGCAGUGAGGAAUAUUGGUCAAUGGGCGCGAGCCUGAACCAGCCAAGUCGCGUGAGGGAAGACGGUCCUAUGGAUUGUAAACCUCUUUUGUCGGGGAGCAAAAGACGCCACGCGUGGCGUUCCGAGAGUACCCGAAGAAAAAGCAUCGGCUAACUCCGUGCCAGCAGCCGCGGUAAUACGGAGGAUGCGAGCGUUAUCCGGAUUUAUUGGGUUUAAAGGGUGCGCAGGCGGAAGGUCAAGUCAGCGGUAAAAUUGAGAGGCUCAACCUCUUCGAGCCGUUGAAACUGGUUGUCUUGAGUGGGCGAGAAGUAUGCGGAAUGCGUGGUGUAGCGGUGAAAUGCAUAGAUAUCACGCAGAACUCCGAUUGCGAAGGCAGCAUACCGGCGCUCAACUGACGCUGAUGCACGAAAGUGUGGGUAUCGAACAGGAUUAGAUACCCUUGUAGUC